CAGGACUAAACCAGGACUAAAUCAGGACUAAACCAGGUCUAAAUCAGGACUAAAACAGGACUAAACCAGGACUAAACCAGGACUAAACAGGUCUAAAUCAGGACUAAACCAGGACUAAACCAGGACUAAAUCAGGACUAAACCAGGUCUAAACCAGGACUAAACCAGGACUAAACCAGGACUAAAUCAGGACUAAACCAGGUCUAAAUCAGGACUAAAACAGGACUAAACCAGGACUAAACCAGGACUAAACAGGUCUAAAUCAGGACUAAACCAGGACUAAACCAGGACUAAACCAGGACUAAAUCAGGACUAAAUCAGGACUAAACCAGGACUAAACCAGGUCUAAACCAGGACUAAACCAGGUCUAAACCAGGACUAAACCAGGACUAAACCAGGACUAAACCAGGACUAAACCAGGUCUAAACCAGGACUAAACCAGGACUAAACCAGGACUAAACCAGGACUAAACCAGGACUAAACCAGGACUAAAUCAGGACUAAAUCAGGUCUAAACCAGGACUAAACCAGGACUAAAUCAGGACUAAAUCAGGACUAAACCAGGUCUAAAUCAGGACUAAAACAGGACUAAACCAGGACUAAACCAGGACUAAACAGGUCUAAAUCAGGACUAAACCAGGACUAAACCAGGACUAAACCAGGACUAAACCAGGUCUAAACCAGGACUAAACCAGGUCUAAAUCAGGACUAAAACAGGACUAAACCAGGACUAAACCAGGACUAAACCAGGACUAAACCAGGACUAAACCAGGACUAAACCUGUACUAAACCAGGACUAAACCAGGUCUAAAC
ensembl:lncRNA